AAACCAGCACCUCAAGUGGUCAGGAGGAUUAUUGGGCCUAAAGCAUCCGUAGCCUGUUCUGUAAGUUUUCGGUUAAAUCCAUUAGCUCAACUAAUGGGCUGCCGAAAAUACUGUAGAACUAGGGAGUGGGAGAGGUAGACGGUAUUCGGUAGGAAGGGGUAAAAUCCUUUGAUCUCUCGAUGACCACCUGUGGCGAAGGCGAUCUACCAGAACACGUUCGACGGUGAGGGAUGAAAGCUGGGGGAGCAAACCGGAUUAGAAACCCGGGUAGUCC
rnacentral:rRNA from 1 species